rnacentral:rRNA from 1 species
UGGGGAAUAUUGCACAAUGGAGGGAACUCUGAUGCAGCGACGCCGCGUGAACGAAUAAGGCUUUCGAGUCGUAAAGUUCUCUUAUAUGGGAAGAUAAUGACGGUACCAUAAGAAAAAGCCCCGGCUAACUACGUGCCAGCAGCCGCGGUAAUACGUAGGGGGCUAGCGUUGUCCGGAAUCACUGGGCGUAAAGGGUUCGCAGGCGGAAAUGCAAGUCAGGUGUAAAAGGCAGUAGCUUAACUACUGUAAGCAUUUGAAACUGCAUAUCUUGAGAAGAGUAGAGGUAAGUGGAAUUUUUAGUGUAGCGGUGAAAUGCGUAGAUAUUAAAAAGAAUACCGGUGGCGAAGGCGACUUACUGGGCUCAUUCUGACGCUGAGGAACGAAAGCGUGGGUAGCAAACAGG